UCCUCAAGCAUCUUCUCAAAACAUUUAGGGUGCGUUUGGUUCGCGCUAUCUUUUAAAGAUUUUUAGUAAUUCAAUAGAAAUAAAAAAAAUAUGACGGUGUUUGGCUAAACGCACUAAGUAAUCUAGUUGGUAAUAUUGGAUUCACUUGGGAAUAAGAUUCACCCCAAAAUACUAAUUUCAUUUGCUUGAGGGAGGGUGGGUAUCCUCAUAUUAAUGGAUUGGGAUAAUCAUAAUAUGUAUAAUCUCUUUCUUUCUUCCUACCCGCCGGCUAAUUAAUAUUAUUUUUCUUUACACUUUAACCUUAUAUCUCUUUCUAAACUUAUUUCUCUCUCUAAAAUUCAACUUUUUUUUUCUCUCUCUAAACUAAGCUUUCUCUCUCUCUCUCUUUCUAAAAUUUCAACUCUCUCCCUCUAAUUUCGACUAUAUUUUUCUUUCUAUUUUUUUAAUUAUGCUCUUUCUCUCUCUAACUUAUACUCUCUCUCCUUUUUUUCUAAAAAGAUGUUGAAAUUUUUGGUAACAUUAUCUAAAAUUAAAUAAAUAAAUUAAUUAAUUAAUUGUAUAUUUUUUGUAAUAUUAAAUAACAUAGCUAAUUAAUAUUACCGUGCGAACCAAACACAGAAAUUUUACAUUCUUAGUAAUAGGAUAAAUAGAAAUAAAAUUUUCGAAUAUCUUUUAUUUCUAGUAAUUUUUCAUAAUGCGAACCAAACGCACCCUUAGAAUAAAUUAAACUCGUGAGCUCGAGUUUGCGUAGCUCGCGAGUUAAGAGAAUCCGACGUUUCACUCUUCAGGACGAAGUCGCUCUUUCACGCUGUACUGGAUCGCUCCACCACUUUACUUAUCAGCAUAUGUCGCGAUCUUUUUCUCGAUCCUAAGCAUAUACUCUUUUGCUGUUUACAAAGUACUAGAUUCAUAUAUUGAAAUGAUGUCCUAUUUGCGUGCUCUAUGGCAUGUACUAGCCUUUUUUUUUGAGAGAUAGGUAGCACGCUAUCCGCUUCGUUUAUUUUAUUUAGAAAUAAACUUAGCUGGAAAUGUGAAUCAACUAGGAUUCGAACUUGGGUCUCAGAUACCAAUCACCAAGCUCUUUGCCAUUUGCUCUGGGGAUGAUCGGUG
rnacentral:lncRNA from 1 species